AGGCAUUUAAGUGGGCUCCCCUUGUCUAUCCUUGUCGUGUGUUUAAGAGACACGUUAGACGACGUGUAGCAGUUUACCACGACCGAUUGGGUCGACCGUCGGUCGAGAAGGCUCUCUUCCCUUCUGAGCCUCUGCUUGAUAAAUCUCGGCGGCGCAAUUCUCGCUUUGGCCACUCUCUCGCGAUGCGCGCGUUGGCUUUGUCUCUUAGGAGGCCUCUCUCUCCGCCAAAGCUAAAACGAAAUAUUACCAAAUAGCUCUAUCUCGCUUCCUUUCUUUUUCUCUCUCAUCGCCAAAGUUAAAACGAAAUAUUACCAAAUAGCUCUUUCUCUCUCACAGCCAAAGCUAAAACGAAAUAUUACCAAAUAGCUCUGUCUCGCUUCCUUUCUUUCCUUUUCUCCGUCUCUCUUUCUCGCUCUUUGUGCGUGCAACUUCGCGCUCGAUAUUACUUCAAUCCGAGGAACCUGCAAGGACGGAGGAGAAACAACGAUAACGACGAGCCGAAUGUUUUCAUGAUGGCGAUCGUUUGGACGUACGGCCUCUGGGCGGACGUACAACCAACGACAGGCUGCGCACACUUGCCCACGAUAAGAUUCACUGUUAUUUGCAAUAGAAAUCAAUAUAGUAAAUAGCAGUCGAGAAAUAUUUAUAGGAAGUAACUGUCAACUGUCGAUCGAGCAAUGCACAACACUGUAGUGGAAAUGAAACUGCAGCUUGAGUCGUAUUUAUGCUCAUUGUUCGGUUCCCUGAGGAGUAAGCGUAAUAAAAUAUAACCUGUAUUCAUUUGGAGAAAAUGUAUUUUUUAACGGUGAAUUUUAACGGUGAAAGAAUUAUCCAAAUCGGUUGUUAAAUAGUUUUAGUUAAAUAGUCGGUCCAAAUAGUUUCUGAAAUUACCUCGGGACACACACAUACCUACGUACUUUUCUCUUUGUAAUAUUAGUAUAGAAGAUAGGUAAAGCGUAAUUUACUCAGGUCUCAUUUAUUACGGUUUUAUUGCGGGUUUAUUUAGGAUAAACGUAACGGUUCUCAUACAACGUAAAUUGUACAGCAUAGAUUGUCAUUUACCUCUGUAAAUAAAUUAUUUACCUCUAAAAGUAGAAUGGGUCUUUCUUUCAACAUAUGUAGUUUGGAAGAAAUAUGAAUUGCGAAUGCCGUGUUGAAAAAGUGGGUUUUUUUGAAAAAUAAAUGUAAAUAAAUAGACUGUAAAUUUUUAUAUUCAUCUUUAUAUCUUCAUCUAAAAGAAUGAAAUUUAAAUAGAAAUGUGUUUCAUUUAUUAAAUAUCAUAAAUACUUUAUUUUGAUUAUCUAUGUGCAAUGUGUGCAUUUUUGUAUCUUCGAAUUUUUCAUAAAUGCAUAAAGAUAUCUACAGAUAAAUAACGAGGUCUUUCCUUCCUUUUUUAUCUAUUAGAAACAAAUAUCUUUUCUUCAUUAGGCACCCUCUACAUUUCUUACGUUUAUGCUUUUACCUACCAUCAUAAAAAGAGGAAUGUUCCAUUGAAUUUUUUCUUGCCCUUCUUUUAUACUGCGUAUACGUAUAAGAAAUAACAUAAACAGU
rnacentral:misc_RNA from 1 species